rnacentral:rRNA from 1 species
UACGUAGGGCGCAAGCGUUGUUCGGAAUUAUUGGGCGUAAAGAGCUUGUAGGCGGUUUGUUGAGUCUGCUGUGAAAUCUCGGGGCUCAACCCCGAACUUGCAGUGGGUACGGGCAGACUAGAGUGUGGUAGGGGAGACUGGAAUUCCUGGUGUAGCGGUGAAAUGCGCAGAUAUCAGGAGGAACACCGAUGGCGAAGGCGGGUCUCUGGGCCGCUACUGACGCUGAGGAGCGAAAGCGUGGGGAGCAAACGGG